rnacentral:rRNA from 1 species
UACGGGGGGGGCAAGCGUUGUUCGGAAUUACUGGGCGUAAAGGGCUCGUAGGCGGGUUUCUAAGUCGGAGGUGAAAUCCUGGAGCUCAACUCCAGAACUGCCUUCGAUACUGGAGAUCUGGAGUCCGGGAGAGGUGAGUGGAACUCCGAGUGUAGAGGUGAAAUUCGUAGAUAUUCGGAAGAACACCAGUGGCGAAGGCGGCUCACUGGCCCGGUACUGACGCUGAGGUGCGAAAGCGUGGGGAGCAAACAGG